rnacentral:rRNA from 1 species
GGAAUGAGUACAAUUUAAAUCCCUUAACAAGUAACAAUUAGAGGGCAAGUCUGGUGCCAGCAGCCGCGGUAAUUCCAGCUCUAAUAGCGUAUAUUAAUAUUGUUGCAGUUAAAAAGCUCGUAGUUGAAAUUUGGAACUUUAUUGUAUUGGUUUGUCUUUUGAUGAACUGUAUAAUGGGUUUCUUCCUACUAGAGUUCGAUUCUGUUCUUAACUGAAUGGAGUAGCUAUCUUUCGGGGUGGUCAGUUGGUUAUUAUAUCUCCACUAAUAAGCAGAGAGGGGUUAAACCUUUGAAGUAAGUUAUGUGGGUCAAGGUAUGGUGAUUAAUUGGAGUUCUAGUUCAUUUACUUUGAGAAAAUUAGAGUGUUUAAAGCAGCCUCUUGGGGCACUGAAUACAUUAGCAUGGAAUAACGAAUGUACCUACAAUUUGGUUAAUUGUAGAUUACUAUUAAUAGGGAC